rnacentral:rRNA from 1 species
AUUGAACGCUGGCGGCAUGCUUUACACAUGCAAGUCGAACGGUAACAGGCCGCAAGGUGCUGACGAGUGGCGAACGGGUGAGUAAUGCAUCGGAACGUGCCCAGUUGUGGGGGAUAACGCAGCGAAAGCUGCGCUAAUACCGCAUACGAUCUAUGGAUGAAAGCGGGGGACCGUAAGGCCUCGCGCGAUUGGGGCGGCCGAUGUCAGAUUAGGUAGUUGGUGGGGUAAAGGCUCACCAAGCCAACGAUCUGUAGCUGGUCUGAGAGGACGACCAGCCACACUGGGACUGAGACACGGCCCAGACUCCUACGGGAGACAGCAGUGGGGAAUUUUGGACAAUGGGCGCAAGCCUGAUCCAGCAAUGCCGCGUGCAGGAAGAAGGCCUUCGGGUUGUAAACUGCUUUUGUACGGAACGAAACGGUCCUGGUUAAUACCCGGGGCUAAUGACGGUACCGUAAGAAUAAGCACCGGCUAACUACGUGCCAGCCGCCGCGGUAACAC